rnacentral:tRNA from 1 species
GCCUGGGUAGCUUAGCGGUAAAAGCAAUCGUUCGGCAAGCGAAAGAUCCGGGAUUCAAUUCCCGAUCCAGUCA